AGUUCGGAUUGGAGUCUGCAACCCGACUCCAUGAAGCUGGAUUCGCUAGUAAUCGCGCAUCAGCCACGGCGCGGUGAAUACGUUCCCGGGCCUUGUACACACCGCCCGUCAAGCCAUGGAAGCCGGGGGUGCCUGAAGUGCGCUGCCGCGAGGAGCGCCCUAGGGUAAAACCGGUGACUGGGGCUAAGUCGUAACAAGGUAUC
rnacentral:rRNA from 1 species